GAAAGUUCCCAAGAAAAUUCCUGUGAUGGCAGCCCCAUCUUCGGGGUUUCCAGGAUUCUAUCGUUUAUAGCUUAACCCAUGGCUGAUAUCCACAUGCAGAGAGAGUAUCUAGAGCAGGCUGCAGACUGUGGUGUGAAUGCAUGAUUGUCCUGCUGAGCUCCUCAGUCUUCCUUCACAACAGAGCAUGCCUGGUUUUGUCUCAGACUGACUCUCCUCUGGUGAAACUAAGGCCAACAGUGGUCUGUUGCUUGUGGAAGAUGCUUCUCAGGGGUUCCAGAAGUUUCUGGAACAGCACAGACACUACUGUGACAUUUUCUUCCAAGACUUGAACAAGUGUGGAGGGGACAUCUGUCCUAUCCAGACACUGCCCACUGUCACUGCCUGACAGAAACUUCACGCAGCUCCGAGCUUCUGUGCAUUCUGACAACCAGACAUUUAGGUAAGCAGCGUGAGGAGAUGGUUUUAUGGAAACACUGCUCCUGUGUGACAUCUGGGAAAACCUAUCUGACUUGUGUUGACUGCUGGUAAGAAGCUGCUGAAAAUAAAACCAUC
rnacentral:lncRNA from 1 species